CCCGCUGAACUUAAGCAUAUCAAUAAGCGGAGGAAAAGAAACCAACAGGGAUUGCCUCAGUAACGGCGAGUGAAGCGGCAUAAGCUCAAAUUUGAAAUCUGGCUUCCAGGAUCUGGAGUCCGAGUUGUAAUUUGCAGAGGAUGUCUUUGGGUGUCGGUUGCGGUCUAAGUCCCUUGGAACAGGGCAUCGUAGAGGGUGAGAAUCCCGUGCGGGACCGCGGACCUUGCCCGUGUAAAGCUCCUUCGACGAGUCGAGUUGUUUGGGAAUGCAGCUCUAAAUGGGUGGUAAAUUUCAUCUAAAGCUAAAUACGGGCCAGAGACCGAUAGCGCACAAGUAGAGUGAUCGAAAGAUGAAAAGCACUUUGAAAAGAGAGUUAAACAGCAUGUGAAAUUGUUGAAAGGGAAGCGCUUGCGACCAGACUCGCCCACGCAAGGCUCAGCCGGCAUGUUUUGGCGGUGCACUCCUUCGCGGGCGGGCCAGCGUCGGUUCUGACGGUUGGUUAAAGACUCUUGGAAUGUGUCGCCUCUCCGGGGGCGUCUUAUAGCCAGGGGUGCAAUGCAGCCUGUUGGGACCGAGGAUCGCGCUUUUGCACGGACGCUGGCAUAAUGGUCGUAAGCGACCCGUCUUGAAACACGG
rnacentral:rRNA from 1 species